rnacentral:rRNA from 1 species
AACGAACGCUGGCGGCAUGCCUAACACAUGCAAGUCGAACGAGACCUUCGGGUCUAGUGGCGCACGGGCGCGUAACGCGUGGGAACCUGCCCUUAGGUUCGGAAUAACUCCCCGAAAGGGGUGCUAAUACCGGAUAAUGUCUUCGGACCAAAGAUUUAUCGCCUUUGGAUGGGCCCGCGUUGGAUUAGCGAGUUGGUAGGGUAAAAGCCUACCAAGGCGACGAUCCAUAGCUGGUCUGAGAGGAUGAUCAGCCACACUGGGACUGAGACACGGCCCAGACUCCUACGGGAGGCAGCAGUGGGGAAUAUUGGAAAAUGGGCGAAAGCCUGAUCCAGCAAUGCCGGGUGAGUGAUGAAGGCCUUAGGGUUGUAAAGCUCUUUUACCCGGGAUGAUAAUGACAGUACCGGGAGAAUAAGCUCCGGCUAACUCCGUG